CUAUAAAUAAUCCCUUCCCGGGGCACUUUUAUCACACCUUCCCUUGUUUUGAUUUCUUCAUCGAGGGGUGGUUUCUUCGUGGCCCCUUAUGGACUCUGGCAAACAUCAACAUAGGAGCGCCCCCAGUGCUAUGUCCACUCCGGUAGAAGAUGAACGAUUCGAGCUAGGUGAUCUCGAUGGGACAAAGAAAAGAAUUCGGGAUGUCUUUUUGCCAAGGUAGGAUCACGAUCCUCUUGUCACAGUCCCCUUUAGAUAUCUGGGAGAGUCUAGCCGCCACCUACAUAGCGCUUGAGGCUGCCGACGAUGAGGGGGUCGGUCUCUGUGACCGUCUGUUGCAGGCGGACCACCGUGUCAUGGAGCUGGAGUCGAAGGUUGUGGGCCUCCAUGAGGGUGUAGAUGAAGUGGUCGCCUUCGUCCGUGCCCAGGGUGCCGAUCGAGGAGAGUGACUCCUCGACGUUACUAACCGGGUGCGCCUGGCCAUCCGCCGUGGUGCUGCAGGGGCUCUGGCCUUUGUGCAGUUCUAGUCGGGCUAUAAGCUCGACACUAGCGAUCUGUUGGAGGACACGACCGCUGGUGCCCUGGAGGACUUCGAAGAUAACUUUAGCAUAGCUAUUGGGGUUGUGGUUGAAAUCCUUCCACUAGAGGAUGUAAUCAACGAAUCCCCCUAGUUAGGAUGUUUCUGCAAGCUGCUUCUGGGAUAUGUAUGCCCCUAUGCUUUUAUAAUGUUUCCUGAACUUUGUUGAUGGAAUGAUUCUCCUUCCUUUCCUGCC